ensembl:lncRNA
CCUUACAGCAUGGGAGACUUGACUGAAUUCUUGAAACAAAGAGAAGUCUCUGAGGAAAUUAUACAGACCUUGGAGAAUGAGAAGGUACUUAAUUCCAACAAGAUACUGGUUGAAAUGCAACUUUUCCUCAUUGUUCUUAAGUUAAAAAUAGGAUUGUAUUUUCAAGGCUGGUUGUUUUAAUAAAUUAAAUUAUUUUUCCAUCUUUAGAUUGAUGCCAGUGUCAUAAGUCUAAUGACAGAUGAGGAGCUGAAGACUUAUUUGCCAUCAUACGGUGAUCGUCUAGCAGUACAGGGAGUGCAGAAUUAUUAGGCAAAUGAGUAUUUUGUUCACAUCAUCCUUUUCAUGCAUGUUGUCUUACUCCAAGCUGUAUAGGCUCGAAAGCCUACUACCAAUUAAGCAUAUUAGGUGAUGUGCAACUCUGUAAUGAGAAGGGGUGUGGUCUAAUGACAUCAACACCCUAUAUCAGGUGUGCAUAUUUAUUAGGCAACUUCCUUUCCUUUGGCAAAAUGGGUCAAAAGAAGGACUUGACAGACACAGGAAAGUCAAAAACCCUCUAGCAGAUCAUUACAUGAAGGAACCUUUAAAAAAAAAAAAAAAAAAACAAGCGCGUCCAUGCUCACAGGUGUACACACAGGUGAUCACACCCACAAACUACACCCUUUUUGGCUCCUACCUCAAAGCACACUGUGUUCUGUUGAUCUUAUGUGCUGCACAAUAAUGUUUAAUAUUUAGUAUUUACUGUCAUAUUCCCAUAUAUCAUUGUGAUGUUGUUUAUUCUAUUACUCUUGUUCUCUUCUGCUUGUUUUCUUUUUUCUUUCUCAGCAGGUGAUCCAGGUGAUCGAUAUAUGCAUUUUUUUUCUGCUCAUUCUGUUGGUUUUUGUUUUUUGCCCUUCUCCCCUGUCCCUCUUCUCAGCUGUUUCUCUUUCCCUCUUUCUUUCUCCCCUUCUUUCCCCCAGUCAAGUCUGUCCCGUAUUCAGUAAGUGAAAAUAAAACAAUAAAAGGGGAAUCAAAUGGACCAUUACGGCAAGGCUGGGAUGGUCAAUUUGGUAAAGUAAAUCCGUUGGGCAUCUUUCUUUGCCUUUAGACAACAAUUCUGAUGGCAAAAGAGCCAAACGGGACAGGUAAGAGAAGAAAAAAAAAAUAAAAAAAAAAAUAGUGAGAUAUCUUGCAGAGGGAUGCAGCAGUCUCAAAAUUGCAAAACUUCUGAAGCGUGAUCAUCGAACAAUCAAGCGUUUCAUUCAAAAUAGUCAACAGGGUCGUAAGAAGCGUGUGGAAAAACCAAGGCGCAAAAUAACUGCCCAUGAACUGAGAAAAGUCAAGCGUGCAGCUGCCAAGAUGCCACUUGCCACCAGUUUGGCCAUAUUUCAGAGCUGCAACAUCACUGGAAUGCCCAAAAGCACAAGGUGUGCAAUACUCAGAGACAUGGCCAAGGUAAGAAAGGCUGAAAGACGACCACCACUGAACAAGACACACAUGCUGAAACGUCAAGACUGGGCCAAGAAAUAUCUCAAGACUGAUUUUUCUAAGGUUUUAUGGACUGAUGAAAUGAGAGUGAGUCUUGAUGGGC